rnacentral:lncRNA from 1 species
AUUGGAAACCUGGAGAGGCUUGUGUACUUAAACGUGGAAGAUUGCACGAAUCUUAGGAUGCUUCCGAAGAACAUGUGUUUGCUUAAAUCACUUGAAACACUCAUUUUAUCGGGUUGCUCAAAUCUUGAUGAGUUUCCAAUGGAGAUGAUGAAGAAGAUAGCUCUGAAAGUUCUUGAAACAGAUGGAAUUCCAUUAAGUGAAUUAUGGACAGAAAGAAGUUCAAGUAUCUUGAGUUCUUUUCCAUGCUCUUUAGUAGGGUUGAGUCUAAAGGGGUGCAAUCUUUCUGAUGAUGCCUUUUGUAGGGAUUUAAGUAGUCUAUCCUCGUUGCGAAGACUAAAGUUAGGUGAGAAUCCAAUUUCCAGUCUGCCAGGUUUCAUCAAGGGUUUGAGGAGGCUCGAUAAACUCUCUUUCAAGGGUUGUGAUAGGCUCGAAUCGCUUGUGGGGUUGCCGAGAGUACACAAAAAGAUGGAUGUAUCCGAUUGCAUAUCAUUGAAAGAAGUAACAUAUCAAUCGUUUAGAGGGUUCCAACUAAAUGCCUUUGCGAGAGAAAACUACAACGUAGUUGAGUGGGAGUACCAUCACAAGUUAGAGCCUAUUGAUAGAGUUGAUGCAGAAAUGAUCAAACUUUUGGGCUUGUGCAACUUGGGAUCCAUGCCUGCAAUUCGAAUGAACAGCCCAAAGGGUUGCUUUCAUUCAAAAGAGGAUAGGUGGAGUCCCGUCCAGGUGCGCUCUCUCUCUCUCUCUCUCUCCCCCCUCUCCCUUUCUCUCAUAAGUCAAAUAUAUAAUGGGAAAUAAAUGACUCAGUAAUGUUGUGAUGAUCAUGGAAAAUGCAUAGGGACUCUAUCAAUUUGGUAUAUUCAGCACAUUUUUUGUUGGGAAUGAGGUUCCAGGCCAGUUCAGCUAUAAAAGUACCAAGUCCUCCAUAUCUUUUAUUGUCCCUUUACUCAUUGCUAGUCACAAAAUCCGAGGCUUAAACAUCUCUGCUACCUAUGCAAAUGAGGAGAAUUCUAAUUAUAUUGAUGAUGGUUAUAAACGUCCAAUAAUAAUCAAAGUGAGUAACAAGAGCAAGGGUCUGAAGUGGAUCUAUGUCCCAGCUUUCUACGGUAUUCCAGAAGAGGGAGAAGAUAUGAUAUGGUUAAGCCAUUGGAGGAUGGAGAGUGAAACAACAUUACAAUGUGGAGAUGAAGUGCUUGUUUUAGUACUCUUGAGCCUUGGUAAGUUUCAGCUCAAGGAGUUUGGUGUCGAGCUUGUGCAAGAGCACCAGAAUAAUAUGAUGAUAAGUACCCAACACAACAUCAAAUCAGAUCCUAAUUACCCUUUUGUCAUCGGUGGAGAUUUGUCCAUGUGGGAGUAUAUACCAGGAAUAUACUUCCUCGGUUGCGAUAAAGAAACUGUUGAAGACACUGAUGUCUUUUCGCAGAGAUUUUUAAAUUGCCUGAUCAUGGACACUGAUGAAGAAGACACAGGUAUGCUGUGUCGUUGUUGUAUUGCAAUGAAUUAUACUGCAUCCAAACACUUCCAAGUCCAUCUGUAUUCAAUCCAAAAACAUAAAUUUUAUGUUAUUUGUAUGUUUUUCAGACAAAGAAAAAGGGCAAGAGGAUGAACCUAAUUACACAAUUGCAAGGACGAGGGCUGCCAGUAACAACUGCAGCCUUGGAGGCUGGAAGGUGCUCCUCACAGCUGCCGGCUUAUUUUUCACGCUUGCUCUAGUAGUUCGGUCCUCCAUCUCCCAGAAAAAAAAGCGACUCUAGUCCACAAGCCAUCCAUGAGUUUGUAAUUUUAUUUGAUACAGACAUAUCUUUGGAUUCCCUCCUUGUUUUUAAGAUGUUUUCUGCCUUCAAAAUAUCGAAGUUCAAAUGUGUUCAAAAUCAUCAAAUAUUGCAUAAAAUACAUCCUACAUUAGCGAUGCUUAAAAUUUUUCUUCCCUGCCACUGAUUGCAUACAAUCAUGUACCAGAGAAGAUAAACAAAUGAUUCUAUAGCAGCAGUAAAUAAUUGGGAAAAAAAAAUGAUUCUAAACAUACAAGGGAAGGACUUUGACAUAGGUAUCUUUAGCAAUACCAGGCAAAAAUCAAUUCUUUGAACUGGGGGAAAAUAUUUUGGCACCGGGGAAAGUGAAAACAUCCUAUCUGCUUAUAAAUGUCAAAUUUACUGGUGUUAAUUGUCAUUUACAACAAAAUCAUGCUUCGUAAAAGAUUCGGCUCCCAUUGAAAAAUUAUGUAAAUUACAUAAAUAUCAGUACAACAGAUAUUAGAUUGACUAAUAUAUCAAAUAAAUUAAGAGCAGACAAUUUCUUAGCCUGCGAUCUAAGGACUAUACAGCUGAUUCAGCCUUGCGUUGCUACUACACUACGAAAGCUGGUUUCUGCUUCUUCAACCCGAACAAAUUAUUAAGGUCAGGAAGCAUAGGAGAAACGACCACGGUCUCUGGAGCCAUGAAAUUUUCUGUCUUCUCAUAAACAUUGUCACUGCUAGCUUGUUCCAUUUUUAAAGUUACAAAAACACAAAAACUUGAACAAUAGAAGUUCGGGAUCGAUUAGGUUCCAAGCCCACUAUAAGCUGAGCAAUACAGUGUCAUUGACUUCAAUGGCUGCAGAUACAGAUUGUUUGAAUAAAACUCUCCUCAUGACUCAGAUUUAGUUCUUAAAGUUGGUUAGACGAGUCCGAAUUGUCUGAAAAUCAUGUUCAUCAACUCCACAUAUCCAAAGCAGCAAAUUAAGGAGGAUACCGGACAUCACUUAGGACAAUACAAUCCUUAACAAUUUCCAAAAGCCACAGUUUUUAUAUGCAAUCUGAUUACAUGUGUUUUGAACUACAGGAAAUCUUAUAGAUUGGGUAAACCGUAUAUCAAAUUCAAAUGCAAUCAUUCAUAUAUGAAGUAUGAGAUGCCCAAUAGUUUUACCAAAAGUUGCUGGGUCAAUUGUCUCAAAACAUUCUUUUAGAAAUUGCUGGUAAAACUCAGAGUCAUCCAAGGGGUCACCAUCAGCUUUUGCACCAGCAUCAGAUUGUGUCUUAUCAGAGUGAAGGAAUAAAAGUACUUAACUUGUGCAAAUAGAAAUAUAACUUUUAUAACACAUCAAAGAGAUAAUUAAAGCAAACCUUACAGGCUACACAUCGAAGCGGCAAACGAAUACUAAUUUUAAACAUAAAGAUGCAAUUAAAGGUAAUGGCGCAUGAAGAGUAUUGAAACCGUCACAGUCCUCACACACAGGUUGCAUGAUCUUUUCUUGUAGCAAUAAAAGAAACAAAUUCAUCAAGUCACAUUGGGCCAUCCAAAAAGAAAAAUGAAGCAAAGUACCAAACACCACAAACAACCCAAAUUUGUUCAAACGUAGUAUCAAACUAAUUAUAGACUGCAUCCAUCCCAAACAAUUAAUUUGUACCUCAUUUGGGAGUUAAAAACUUACAACAGCACAUGGAAAAAACGUAAAUUCCAUGGACAUUCGAUUCCAAUGAACUUACAUGCAAUCAGUAUAGGAUUAUAGUUGACCACAAUUACAUGCAGUCAGUACCUCUCCCUUUGCAGAGUUGUACCCCUCAGGAACCUGCACAUCCACAACUUAUGUUUAAGUUAAUGUACAAAACUUAAGAAAGCCCCAUCUUGUUAUGAUGUUAAAAUUAUGAAGCAAAAAUGAGCAUGCACGUGACAGUCAAUAUCUUACAGGUACCAAAUACAGCAACUGCUGAUUUCCUCAUCUGCAUCUGCCUAACCAUUCUGCUUGGAUCUCUCAUAUAUGAAGCAACUUGUUCGCUAAUAUUCAGCGAUUGGGAAAGGAAAAAUGUAUUCCUGGUGAAUAUCUGGCAAAGCAUGGCACAAGUCCUUCAUAGGGAAAGGCAUGGUUACAAGUUCAAUUAUAGAGCCAGACUUGAUUAAAAGCAUGCAGUUUGCUUUUAAUAGCAGCAGCAUCUGUGGUCACCUCUGUCUUCCUCUGCCAUUUGUUUAUCAAUUUGUUUCUGAAAGUAGCAUUCUACAAGAUACAACGUGACAGGCCUUAGUUAGACCAAGUAACCAACAUGGAAAUGUAAACAAUAAUGAAAAGUUGAACAUAGUAGAACAAAUUUCUAAAAUUCAUGCAAGAGAAGUUGUCGGAGCAUGAAAGAAUUCACAGCAGAACUGCCCAAGAGUAUACUUAAAUUAAACAUAUGGCAACAUAGAUUUUUUACAAGUAUAAUUUACAAAUGCAUUCCAUGGUUCUUUGCCGGCCCCUUUAGAUAACUAAUUUAAUUUAGUGCCUAAUGGAAUUUAAAUUUCAGAAAACUAUCGUCUGGUAUAUUUCAUAUUAAAUAGUUGACAAACUUUAUAACAUAAUAGCGUCAUUUAUUAACUGAUACGAACCAUGUAGUAAAAUAUAACAAAAGUUAGACACCAAGGCAUUGAAAUACAGCAAUAAUAGUAAGGUACUUGAUUGAAUCCACCAUUUACGAGAAUUUUAACAAUAAAACAAUAAAACUUCGAAGUUCUUUUUGCUGCUCCAAAUGGAUCAGCGAAGUAUGGCAUGAAGAACGGAAAAAAAAAAUUCAGUUUUAUAGAUAGACUUCAAUACAGUAAGAGCAUAUGUACAUAGUAGAAUAUGAUUCUUCUUCUCAGAGUAUCUAAUUAUGAUUUGAGUACCUCGACAGCAACUCAGAAAUUCAUGACCAAUCCUCAUCACCAUCACCAUCACUGCCAAUGUUUUUAGAUGACUGUGACAUCUUAGAUCGUCCAGAUUUACCUACAGAACAGGAUAUGUAUUAGGAAAAGCAAUACAUGAACAUAUGCAGUAAGAAGUUAAUGAAAAUGCAAACAGUACAAAGUGGGACAGUCAAUUAGACCAUGGUAGCCCCAAUGCCAACUUUUUUUGCUAAAUGAUGCUAAGUUUUAUAUGAGAUCAAGCAGGAAAGAUAUGUAUUGACAUCCUAGGGGCUUUUUGAAAUCUGGCUUCAUCUUUGCUGUCCUUAGAUCAACAAAACAUGGCUGCCCAACCGAUUUACCUUCCAUGCCAACAUUAUGCUUUUGACAACUGCAACAAAUACCUACCUCUAUAGUGGUGAUUUAAUUGAUGUUUCUGUAAUCAAACUCCCAAAGUGUCUACUGUUUGUUGAAAACAACUGAAUUUCUGACCAAUUGGACUACUUUGAACUUCCCAAAGUGUAAUAUCUUUAGUAGAACAUAACCUGGUCAAUCCAGUAAGUUUUGUGCGAAACUCAUUGAAAUUCCUUACCAUUGAGGUAAACUUGUGGCUCAUUUUCUGCACAUUGAUGAGGCCGUUCCAACCCAGACUCAGCUUCACCUAUAGAAACAGAAAUUAACUAGGACAAAGCAACACGAUGCAUUGUCUCUCUUCAAGCUUGAGAAAAUGACAUACCUUGCAAGAACCCAAAGAACUUGACAUGUUCAUGCUCCGGCCAAUAAUAUCCAUCAGCAUAUGUCCAUUUUAGUACACGCCUAUAUUCAACUAUUUGAAAAUAGAGAAAAUUUAAUAAGAAAAAGCAGUAAACUCUUGGUAGAAAAGUGUGGUAAUUUGUGGUGUACCUGUAGCCAGGCCUCUGUAAUGAACUUCAACUGUGACUCAGGUUGGCACUACGGGCUGGUUUGGUAUUGCUGUGCUUUAAAAAAAAGCUGCUGUGAGAAUAAGCGGUUGUGCUGUGAGAAUAAGUGACUGUGAAAUAAAUCAGCAGAGCGUUUAGUAAACUUUUUUGUAAAAGUGGUUUUGGAAAAAAAGCAGUCUGAUAGUGGGUCUUUUCAUUAAAGGAGCACUGUAACUCCGUGAGCUUUGAAACAAAACCAGUUUUCCAAAGCUGCAAAUAGCAGCUUCAGUUUUUUCCUUUGAUUUCAGCUUAUUCUCACAGCAGCUUCCAAAAUAAGCCCUCACAGCUUUUUUUUUUUUUUUAAACACCGCACACCCACUCAUCUACCCCGCUCCCUUCCUUCUCUCCUUUCUCUCAUCUGCACUUUCUCUGUUACAGCUUCACUCUGUCCGGGAAGUCAUCGUCAAAAUCGACGAAGGCGCAGAUUCGUUCACAAGCACCAGCGACCUGCCAAAAGUGGCAGGAAGAUUUGGCGGCAGUCCAGCAUCGAUUUCUGGCACGAGGACGGCAACGGCGAUGCCGAGAAUUUUGAUUUCGUGCAGCGAGGGAAGACGGAGGAGGUGAAUGGGGAGGAUCCGCCGUCGAAGCUGAUUGCAGCGAGCCUCCGGCGAUAAGACGCUGGAUAUGGAUUUGGAGAUGGAGGAGCUGUAGCAGAACGAGCGCGAUUUGCCGCCCCUCGCCGAGUCGCCGAGUCCGAGAAACUUGUGCAACUCGAAGGAGCUCAAAGUCUCGUAUCAAUUGCCGGCGUCGGACCUCACCGAUACGCCGCAAACUGAGUCAGUUCAGAGGCGAUACAGAGAGUCCCCUGACGAGGAGCGACGCCGCAGCGAGAGGUUGGGCAACGGACAGGACGACGUCGUCCGGUGCACUUCCAACUCCUCAUUCCGCCGAGAGCCUUCGUUCUCGAACAAGUCCGAUUUGUUGAGAAUAAAGACCAAGUCCAGACUAAUCGACCCGCCGGAGGAGCCGGAUUUCAAGUCGGGUCGGAUCUCGCGAUCGGGACAGAUGAGGUCCGGGUUGCUGGGCCGCGGCGGCGACGACUCGACGACCCAUUUCUGGAGGAGGACGUGCCGCACGAGUACAAGAGAGCGAACUUCAACGCAUUGACGCUGCUUCAGUGGGUAAGCUUGGUUUUGAUCAUUGGGGCACUGGUUUGCACGCUGACGAUUCCAGUUCUGAGGGAGAAGAGGAGGGAGGGAAGAGGAGGGAGGGGGUCGGGAAGGGUGGGACAGGAUGCCCAGAAAAAAGUUUUUUUUUUUUUACUUUUUAAAAUUUUUUUUUUAAGCUUUUAUUGACGUGGCCGUCACGUCAUCAAUUAACAACUGACCGAACAUCCAACUUAACGGAUGUACAAAACUGUUCCAAAAAAUUAAGACAUGAGAUAUGAUUGGACUGAAAAUAACUUCAUGUACCAAAUAUUAAAAUUCACAAAAUUACAAGAUAGUAAACUGAGAUUAACCCAAAAAUAAAAAGAAAUUCAUGCACAUGAAGCCUAUGAUAAAUGUCAAUUAAUUGACAUUAAGUCAAAGAAAGUAUCUGCUAAAGCAUAUUCAGUUCUCCCGUCCUAUUCUGAUAACUGUCCGAACCAUGAAUAAGAUACGAUUGGAUCAUCAUCCAAGAAAUGGUACAGGUCGUUCGCAUCCUCAAAUAGAAUUUUCCUGGUGCAACAUAAAAGCAUUGUUGAAAGCGAAUCAGGAUUCUCUCCUGAGCACAUGGUCAGGAUCCUCCUGACCACGCCCAUCGGGUCGUUCAACUUUUAUCUAACGGUUAUAAUUAUUAUAACUUUUAGAGGGCCCCCUGUUUGUAGCAGUUGGAUAAAAUUUAAACGGUCCGAUGAGCCUGAUCAGGAGGAUCCUGACCAUGUGCUCAGGAGAGGAUCCUGAUUCGUUGAAAGCAACGGAAGAAAAUAUGUCAACAAUGGCAUAAUAUAUGUGAGGUAAGUUGGUUUGACAUGAAAAAAAAAAUUGUAAUUGUCCACUCAUAUUUCACGCCUUCAUUGUAUAAGAAAAAUGUCAGUCCAACCACUUGUAGAUCAAAUGAAAUUUUGCUUGAGUAUUUUUCUUUGAACUUCUUUCCACUCAAAAUUUCCUAGCAAUAAAAAACAAAGUGAAAGAGAAUAUAAAGGCGCUUCAAGGCAAACUUCAAGGACUCGCUCAAGAACAUUAUGCAAAAAAGAGUUUGCAUGCAAGCUUUCUCCAAAUUCAAUAGCCUACAUUAUAACAGAAAUAGAAGGGUAAAAGGGAAGAGUUAAUAAAAAUAAGAUUAGCUAGCAAUUUGUUUUGCAUAUAUAUUAGAUACAACACACUUGAUGAAAUCAUUUCUUGCAUAUGAGAUACAACAUUGUCAUUUAACUGCAUACACAGUGCUACAGCCUCUCAAUUUGCUUUUAAGACAGGCAUCCCAAGAAGUUCCUAUAAAACCACCUUUAGUAAAUAUCUGAUAAGCACUCAUAAUGCCUCACCAACAAACCAAAAGGUAUCUAUGUUGAACAAAGAAAUAAAACAUAUUCAAAAGAAUUAAACUGAUUGCAAAAUUUUCAGGGAAGAAAGCUGAUCACAGAAGUUUAGCCAAAUGAACACAAGUUGCCAAAAAAAAAAAAAAGUAUGUAUAAGCAUGGAUACUCAGUCAACUACUAAAUAAUGAGCAAACGAAAGGUCUGCAAUUAGGUACAAAAAAGGGCCAUUGCACCAAAAUAAUAAUAAAAAAUACAAACCACAUUUUUUAAAUUGAUAACAAAAGCAUAACAUCUGAAACACCAUUUUCAGCCAUAUGCAAACUCGAUGAAUCAAUACCAGAGAAACGAAAAAACCUUGCAAUCCUCACCUGCAAAUUCAGAGGCGAUGGAGUUCCGUUACCCACAAAGACCAUAAAUGCACCAAACAGAAUAAACACAACAAUAAUUAAGCUUACUCUCAAUUCAAAGCCUCAAUCUUUAUCUAAGCUAAGCAACAACAAAAAAAGGCAUUGUAAAAAGCAACAGAAAAAUUACUGAGAGUAACGUAAUUUAUACCAAUAAAUUACCAUUCAAAUUCAAUUUUGAAGUAACCCACCCCAGUUACCCCACCACAUUUCCGAAAGACUAAACAAAAACACAACAAACUCACCCCAAAUUUUCCAUUUUAUUCGCUAUCUUUCAAUCAAUCAAACGUACCCUUUAAACUUUUUCAUCAAACAUUAUAUAAACAAAUUAAAAUCCUAAUUCCAAAACAAACCCCUGUUUUAAAAAUUUCUUAUCUGUCUUCAUAAAGCAAUCAGAAAAUGCAAGCGCACAAACAAAUUACGGAACCUUGGGGAAGAGAUUGAUGGUACAGAAGACGGAUAACCUGAGGUGGGAGCUUCGUGCACCAUCCUUGGCUGUUUCGUGUUGUACGAUUAAAAAGGAGAGCAAAACGGAAAACAAAAACCGAAGAUCACUUCGCAUCAGCUCUCGAUUUCCCCAUAUUCAGCUAAACCGCAAUAACCUAUGAGAAUCGUUCAAAAACGAAAAAACCCCGAUAUAUAUAAAAGAAAAAGUCGGAUUUGAGGAAAAUAGAGAUGAAAAAAAUACCCAGAAGAAGGAGAGGAUGAGACGCUGUAUAAUGCAGAAUGAGAAAGGAGGGAGGCACUCGAGAACAACGUUUUAGUUUUCUGAGAAAGAAAACUCCAGAAGCAGAGGAAGAGCGCUCACCGGUCCACUUCCCUUCUACGAUGGCUGACACCCAGACCGAAGAGGCAAAUCAGUAAAUGGCUCAUUUUACUAUUCCAUCGAUUAAAACUUUAUUUCUUUUUAAUUUUUUUAUCAAGAUUUUUGGAUUAUUUUUUAUUUUUAAAUAUAUUUCUUUAAUGUUAAAAAUGUUACUAUUAAUAUAUUUAUAUUUAUGAUUAAAAAUUUUAUCAUAUAUUUUGUUUUUUAGUUUGUAUCCACUUUUAAUUUGCAACCUUUAUUUUAAAUUUGUAGUAUUUUCUUUUUAGUUUUAAUUUGUACCAUGUAAUUUUUUUUCGCGCCCAUAUUUUUAAAAUUUUCAUUUGUACUCAUAAUUUUUUAAUCUUUUUGUUAUAUGUGUGUUUGGGCCCAAAAUAAUAGUUUGGACCGAGGGUAGGAUCAUACUCGGCCCGGGAGGCCGUGCGGCAAAAGGACCAUGGAUCGUUCAGCUCGUGGGCUUCCAAGCCUAGGUUAGUUAGAUCAGAACGCAAGUCGAGUCCUAGUACAAUAGGGAGUCUCGACGAGAUCAAUAAUCCAGAAAGCGAAUCCGGCUCAGUUAAGGACUAGAUUCAUAGUCCUAGUGAAGAUAGGACUGGUCGAGGUGUUGUUGACCCGGAAAGGGAGACCUAAUCCGAGUAGGAGUUUAACUCGGAUUCAAGGUCCAGUGCUAUAAAUAGGGGAGGCUAUGCGUCAGUGAAGGGCUCCAACUCAACACACAAAACUGCCCUGCGCAAACUCUCUCAACAACUUGAGAUUUUUAUUUUCUCUUUUCGCUGACACAUCUUCCGUUGGCAUCAACAGCACUGUGAAAGCAACUGGUGACAUCUUAAGUCGGCAUAGAUAGCUCUGUCAUCGUAGAAUCAGUCGGUCUCGCAGUAUCUUCCGUUGGCAUCAACAGCACUGCGGCGAGGACGGUUGGUUAUCUAUCCAAGUCUCGGUCGAGAAGGAUUUCUGAAUCCUUAUUGAUUGAGGUCGUCUUAUUAGCUUUCUCGGCGAAGUAAGGCGUUACAUUAGGCUCGGCACAUUGCACGCCGAGGUUGUUCAUGAUUGGAUACUCACAGGUGGGAUUUAGAGUUCGGCAUUCCAACGGCCGAACCACGUUCAUUAUCAAGACUUACGUCCGUUUUGAGUAUCUGUGCCCCUACACCUUGGUGUUUAUUCGGCGUGAGUUUACUCUGACGAAUACUAUCACUGUGACCGAAUCUGACGACGACGACUCGUGAACUUCGUAAAAAUAGUAGCCUUGUCUUCAGGCUUGAGAACCCAAGAGGCCGAGGUGUGUUCCUUUCUCGGCCGCAGUCGCAAGACACAGAAGUUAGCCGCGCACCCAACGCAACAUCAACAAAUUUACUCCUCGGCCGAGCUCGGCCGACGAGUUGGCACGCCCCGCAUUCACCGAAGGACGUAGUUAGCUUAUAGAUUACUCGGCCUGCGCGCCACGUAGGCUUUGUAGUUUUUAGGGUCAACAAUGUGAAAUGUACCAAUUUUUUUUAACACUAUACAUUCUUUUGCCAUUUAUUAUUUCUAAUUGUUACAUAGUUUUUAUCCAUUUAUUCAAUCAAAAUGUUUGAAUUUUUUUAAUGUAACCUUCUAUGACACACCCCGUCCUAAGGAGGGCGUGACAGAUUGCUAGUGAUUCAGUUUUUAUUUAUGCGUAUUUCUAUUUAUCUUCUCAGCUUCCGCACUGUGCAUAUGGUUACGUCACGCUCACGUGACGCCUAGCACGCCCUCUUAGGACGGGGUGUGUCAUUUUAUAAUAGUAUUAUAAAGAGGGAUUUUAAAUUUAUUGGAUUAUAAUUCUCAUAAAAUAUCAAACAAUUAAUGUCAAAACUAUAAAAAAAAUAUAAAUAUUAAUAGUAAUAUAAUGAGGUGUACAAAGUCAAUGGACUUUGAUCAAACUCUGAAUAUCAUUAGGGUGCGUUUGUUGCACCGGACUGUCUCGGACUGGACUAGCUGCAGGGACUAAGCUGGACUGGCUUAGACUAGCUUAGUGAAGCGUUUGGUGCAGUGUCGAACUAAAAAACAGAAUAAUAAAAAUUAAUUCACUUUUUAUUUGUUAUUUUUUUGGUUUUCUAGAAUCCCCUAUUUUGGUCAAACUAUUUCCUUCUUUUUCUCCCAUGUCUCUUCCCUUUUCCUUAUCCUGUUCGACUCUCUCUCCCUCCCUCCCUCCCUCUUCACUUCCUCUCACAACUUCAUAAUCUACUGCAAACCUUCAAAAUCAAACCACAUAGCAAAAAAUAAAGUGAAAAUUUAGGAGUUGGGGUUGGGGUGCAUGUGUGAUUGCCUCGAAGGUGGGAGAUGGAUAAGGUUUGCAAUCAGGGAGUUUCAUGUUUUCUGGGUUUGGUUUUCCUUCAGUCAAUCCCAUCGUUGAUUUGAGCUUAUACCCACUGCAGAUUUUGUGUGUGUGUGUGUGUUUUAUAGGUUUCUGGGUUCGGUUUUCUGGGUUCUAUUUUGCAGGUUGGAUCUGGAUUUGAAAAAUGGAAUGACUGCAUAUUUUUUUUGUUUUGAAUUUUGCGGGAUAUGGGUUUGAAAAUGGUUGUGGAAGCGAGGAAGAAGCAGAUGGGAGGGGCGAAGUGAGGAAAGGCGAAGCGGACAGAUGUGGUCUUAGCAGUCCGCCCAAUUUUGGGGGGCCUUGCGAAGCCCCUCUAGCAAAUCGUUUAGUCAGGGUUAGUGUAGGCGAGUCUCAUUAACGCUAGUCCGUGUGUGAAACAAACACAGGAUUACAGUGACAGUUAGUCCAGUCCAAGCUAGCGAAAGCUAGCGAGCUCAAACAAACACACCCUUAAGGUUUUAAUCAAAGAAUGUUAGGGACUAGGGACCGCAUCCAAAGUAUCUAUUAGUAAAUUUACUAUGCCGUGUAGGGAAAAAGGCUGAAAACAGGUAACGAUUGAAGGGGAAAUCCGUCCACACACUAUAGAUUAAUAGUGCCAACCCAAAACUAGGUUUUAGUAUAUAUAUAUAUAUAUUUUUAUAUUUGGAUCUUAAAAAGUGAUGUAUUUGGAUCUUAAAAACUCAAAUUCUAGAACUCGUUUUGAGUUUUAAAAUUUGAGUCCUUGCACUGGAGGAGAAGAAAUUGGACUCAAAAUUCAUAUUUGAAUUUUAACAAGUUGGUUGUGUAUUGGAGAUUAUUGGACUCAAAUCUCAUUAUUCUUGGUUGAGUAACAAUUUUCUUAGUUGGCAUGGGCUCCACUUUCAACUCAAAUCUCAUAUUGAAACUCAAAUUGGGUCUCCAUUCCCCCAGAGACAUAAAUAUGAGUUUUAAGCGAAGUGUAGUCAAUUUGGAUUUCAUAGGAUUUUAAUAGAUUUUGUUAAGGGACAUAUUUUAAAAGAUUUUAAUAGAUUUUACAAUUCUAUAUGGAUUUUGAAAGAUUUAUAUGAAUUUCCAUUAUAAUUUUCUAUGGAUUGUAUGAACUUUUUUCAUGGAUUUCUUAGGAUUUAUGUGGACAUUUUCACGGAUUUAUAUCAAAGUUACAAGUGGCUAAUAUAUUUCUUCCCAAAUUUUUAUCGAAUCACAUCUCAUAACACAUCAACCCAAAAUCUUAGUAGCAUCAAAUUCAUGUCAAAAAUUGCCACAACAUUACACACAUUAUACGAAAAGCAAUUAAAACCAACAGAAACUUCAUUAGACGAAAGGCGGAGGAAAAAAACUCAACCGAUUCGUCAGAUACUUCUUGAGGCAUUUAAACAAACAACUUGUAGGCCAAAAUUGCAUAACCCUAGUUCACCAAACCAGUACAGGGAAUUCCCGAAAAACAAUUUCUUUCCACUUUCUGAUUAAAAAAAAAAAACCCAAUUGCCAUUUUCACGUAUUGACACCAGAUCAAAACGAAAAACCCAAAAUUUUUCAAUUGCAUUCAUCUAACCUACCAAAAAAUUGUUACAGUUACGAUAAUUUAAAUUCUUUUCGAUACUUCAAAAAAAAUUGCAAAUAAGAAGUGGAUUAAGAAGAACACGAAUUAUAAAGCAAAACAACAUAAAGAUAAAAAUAUAAAGAUACAAUUGUUACUCAUCUUCCCAGAGGAACAAACCAAAUGCAGAAAAAAAUACAGCAAAAAUGCGAAAUGCAAGUUUAUAGGGAGGAAUGCUCGGAACUCAGGCUAGGACUAUUCAUCUUCUAUGGUUUGGAAUGAAAAAAAAAAUCAGACGGGGAGGGUUGGAUUGUUGAUGGCAUUUGGUAUUUAUACCACCCACUCUCAAAUCCAUCAAAAUCAUUCAUCCACCAAAAUUCUAGUAAAUCUUUGGCAUUCCCACUACACUUAGAUUUGUAUGGACAUUUUAAAAUUUUAAUUGACUACCCAUAGAUUUGGAUGUAUUAUUUAAAUCCUCUCAAAUCCUGAUUUGACUAAACUCUGAUUUUAAAAUCUUUUAAAAUCCACCUUCAAACUCCUAAUGGACUACACUCUAAUUUUAAAAUUUAUUAAAAUACCAUCAAAUCCAAAUUUGACUACACCCUUAAGUCUCUGGUGCAUUGGAGAACCUUUAGACUCCUAUGUAGAUCAAAUAUAAGAUUUGAGUCCAAAUUUUUUGGUGCAUCAGAGAUGCUUAGUGUGCUCGAAAUAUAAGGCGGUCAAGAUUGAAUUAAACGAUCAAGAUUGAAUUGAGAAAUGACGAUCAAGAUUGAACUAAGAAAAUGGAUUACCCAGUAAUUCAAAUUAUUGAAGACUGACCUAUAUUGGACUACCCAGUAAUUCAAACUAAUGAAGAUUUACCCAUAAAAUGAGACAUUAAUCUUGUCGUCCUUGGAGUACACGUACAAAUUUCUAGGGUAGUGCUAUCACACACCUAUUUUUACUUUUCAUACACCCCUCUCAAUUUUCGGACGUCGGAUAGAAUGAGUUGAAGAAGAACAAUGGCAAAAAAUUAAUAAGGAUGUGUAAGAAGUAAAAAUGGGUGUGUGAAGAACAUUUUUCCAAUUUCUAAUGAUUUAGCUCUUUGAUUUGAACCAUGAGAUAAGCAUGUGGUCUUCAUCAAGGUAAUGGAGUGGCGCGUGAGGAUCGUGUAAAAGAUUGAAAACCAAGAAACGAGAGGGUAUCAAAUGAUUGAGAGAAGUGUGUCUGGUUAGGACAACGAACUUUUAUAUUGACAGAUCUUUCCCAGCGACCGCCCAUAACUUUGAGCGGAAGUGACUAUAAAUUCUUGACCAUAUCACCAAGCAAUCGAAAUUCGUUAUUUUAAAUGGAAUUGCACAGAUAAUUCAUGUGAUUGUAGAGAGAUGUCUCAAAAUAAUCUGAAAGAUUUAAGAAUACUCAUGUGGUGGAAUUAAUUUUCUCAGUUCAAAUUGAGACAAUUGUGAUGUUGAAGGUUGGUAACGUACAAAAGGGAAAAGAAGGAGAGGCCGAAGGGCACGUCAACGACUCAAUGCACAAUAAAGAGAAAGAUCGGUUGUGUUUAAUUCCAAUCAAUUUUUGUCACAAUAAAGAGAAAGAUCGGUUGUGUUUAAUUCCAAUCAAUUUUUGUCAAAUGUGUGGUUUGUGUUCCUGGGUUUAUGCUUAGUGUGUAACUUUUUGACAGAACUUGAGCGAAGAUUGUUAUCGAAACAAAUUUCCGCCGUCUCUUCAUUUGACGAAAAUGCACCUACAAAAUAAUAACGCCUAAGAUUUGUUGGAAAUUAAAUAUUAUAAUUUAAAGGGUGCCGCAAGGGGCGCCAUCCCCUUUAGUGAUGUGUCUGUUAAAGGGUAUUACUUAAACUACCUAAACCCUAAAUGAUACAUCUCUUCGGCAAACAAUAUAUUUGAGUUCUAUAAAAACUCAAAAACUAUUGUCUUUUAAGAUAUAGAAUUAAGAAAAGAGUUUCCUCCAAUGUCUUAGUAAAAAUCCGAGUCGUGUCUUGAGAGUACGGUAUAUAUGAAGUUCGCCAGAGUCUGAAGAUUGAAGUGCUUUGACUUUGGAUUAUAGAUUGUUGAAUCCUAGGUGACGGACACCUACCGAACUACAAGCACAAGGGUAGGGGCGAAAUUCUGUCUUUAGAACAUUGCAUUUAUGCAAGCCUCAAUUUCUAAGUUUGUCAGUUUUUCUAACUAUAUCUUUAGUUGUUUAUAUGAAUUUUGUAUACUAUUGAUGUUGUGAAUUUCUUUAUGAUUAUUAUUAUUGAAAUUUUUGUGUUAUUUCCAUAUUUUCUAUUAUUGCUUGUAUAUAUAGUGUACAAAACAACACAAGAAUUUUGGGAUUUAUUGAUGAUGAUGAUGAAGAUAGAAGGUUAUUUGUCUUAUAUAUAUUUAUUAGAAAUUAUAAUCUAACUGCUUUUAAAUUAAUCUUAGUUUGAAUUUGAUUUCUCUUGGCAUUCUAGGCAUGUCACGAUCAGGCAAUGUUUUAAAGUUUGAGGCCUGGUAAAAUUAUGCAUGUUGCCACUGUUGUUGAUGUUGUUGUUAAUUAUAUAAAUUGUAUGAUAUAUAGAAAUCUCAUACUUGGCUACUACUCUAUGUACAUGUCUUUUUUAACUGCUUUACAUAGAAAUUAAAAGAUGGAGAUUCUAGUUUCCAGAAAGAUACAGUGAUAACAAUUUUUAUUAUAUGGGUACUGGAAUUAUUAUAAGAUCUGUUUAAAAUCCAUGUUUAGUGUUUGUCUCCUUUUUAUGAAGAAAGGUGUCGAUUAAGGCCAAGUGAAAUGGUAUGAUUGUGAGGAUGUGAAGACAAAAGGGGUUCCACAUCGGUGAAAAGAGAAACAUAACAAGACCUUAUAAGGAAUUGGGUUGUUCUCCAUAUUGUCAAUUGGUUAUGUGUUGGAAUCCCAACUUUCUUCAAUAGUCAUACAAAAUUGGCAUUAUUUGCAAAUCUAAAAGGGUCAUAAUGUACCAGUUCGUGGACUGAUGCAAUAUUUCUUUCGUGGGACAAAGGAGAUCAAUAUUUGAUCGGGCACGAGGAUGAUUAAUAGGUUUUUGUUGAGAAAACCCUUAUAUUCAUCAAGAUGUCAGCGAAAGCUCUUGAUGAAGAGUGAAUACCCAAAUAAAAUGGGGUUGUUUUAAAUUUGUAUUGAAAUAGUUGGAAAACGCCAGUACAAGAUAUGAACCCAACUUCCAUGGUAUCAUGGAAUAUAAGAUGAGUGCAGACUACUCAUAUAUAAGUGUCCAUUCAUGGAAAGAAUGGAAUACGUACGAAGAAAAUUGAACAAUUACUCAGGCAUAUAUGUGCAUAUGCAAAAUUGGGUCUAGCCUUCAUUAAUGAUAAGAACCCAGAAAGUGGAUGAAUUUGGCUUUGAGAAGCAACAAAAAUAAACUGAUAAACUGAACUCAUUUUAGAUGAGUUAUCUAUCAACGUCGAAAGAUGCUUAUUUAAUUAUGGGGUCAAGGUCCAAGACUUAUAUUGAACCAUGUGGCGGUUAAGUUGCAAAAAGAUGCAACUAUUUAACAAAUGGAUGGUUUUGUAAUGUGGUGGAAUUGGAAAUUGAAAUCUACCAUGUGAGAUUCAAAGAAAAAGCAUGUCAUUUGAAGUGCUGUUUUUGACAGUGAAAGGGUAUGCCACUGCCUCCAAAAUGAUAGAUUUUGCUCCUUUUCUGUCCCCAUAUGCGCAUUGCCAUGCACUUGGACAAUUUUUCCACGUCUAGUGCAUACAAUCGAUGCUUCCUAUCAUCCCAGGAAAACCUCGCAUCUCGCCCUUCUUCAGAAGCCUUUGCAAGUCCAUAUGAGUAGGUCUUCGGAGGUACUCUGCGGUGUACAAAGAUUUGACUGCUCCGCAAAACCUCAUCAGGGCCUCAAGAAUGGUUGAUUUCCCCAUCCUCGUUAUCUCAUCCACUUGGUCUGCAUAUCCUUCAUACGCAAGCAUCCGCAAUGCAUCAGUGAUUUUUUGCUGAGGCAGGAGACCCAUAACACCACAAGCAUCCUUCUUUUGCACAAAGUAAGAAUCAUGGUUGCAAACAUCAGUCAUGAUUCUGUUGAACAAAUGUCGUUCCAUUCUAAAACGGCGUCUGAAGCACGUAUCAGGAAAUGCACUGUUAUGGACAAAAUAAUCAUCCAACAGCUCUUCACCCUGUCGUUGCCUGCUUCUAUCAAGGUUUCUUGAACGGUUGGGCCUGCAUAUCUGAGCAACAGUCUGGAUGACUCGACGGGAAUGUGAGGUUCUGGCCAUUCUUGUUUCGUCAUCUCUCCUUCUACGCUCCUCAUCCUCUUCCAUCUCAUUUUCGGCUAUCUGAAGGUUGAACAUUCCUUCAGAUUGGUUAAACAAUUUUUCCUCUUGCUGAUCGAUUUCCCACAUCAUCCUUGAUGAAGAAAAAGACAUUGUAAGGAUGGAUGGUGAAGAAGAAGCAUAAACUAUGAAUAAUUAGAUUGAGAUGUUGAGAAAAUUGGUGUGAGAUUUGUGAGGAUGGAUGGUGGAUUAUAUGGACGAUUCAAAAAGGAUUGGAUUGUAGAUAAGGCCACGUGGCAUGCCAUUAUUCGUUAAAAAUAUGAUCGAAAUCUAUCCUCAAAGAUUCUGAAAAGAUGAUGACACGUGGCACGAUCGUAUUGGAUAAAAAUCUUAUCGAUAUCAAUCUCCAAUAAUUAUCUUUUCGGAUAAUGACACGUGGCGCAAUUUUGAACGAGUUAAAAUUUGAUCGAAAUCUAUCGUCAAAGAUUCUCAAAAGAUAACGACACGUGGCACGAUGACAUUGGAUAAAAAUCUUAUCGAAAUCCAUCGCUAAAUAAUUGUUUUUUUUAUAAAAUGACACGUGGCGCAACGAGAACGAUUUAAAAAAUCUUAUCCGAAAUUACAAAUAAUUUUAUUUUGUAUUAUUUAAACAAACAAAAAAAACUAAUAUUUUAUUGCCUAUUGCCAGGGGGAAGGCUCCAAUGGUGGAGAUGCAAAUGGCAAUUACUGUUCAUUAAUGACAGUUACUAUUCAUUAAAGGCAGUUACUGUUCAAUAUGGUGGAUUCAAUAGUGGAUUGCCAGGAGGGAGGGUUCCAUGAGUGGAGUUGCUCUUAAUGCUGGAAAUGUUUUUCUCCUUAAUUGUAUUGGGAACGGUUUGGACUAGAGGUUUUUUUUUGAGUUAAGUGUCGGAUUGUCCCCGUGAAUAGUCAUUCCUAAACCAUUUGUGUGGGCUUAAAUUCUUUGUAAUUAGUUUAAAGCAACGUCGCUUGUAAUAAAAAAACAUUAUAUAAAGCAACGUCGCUUGUUCAUUUUUUGAACUGUUGCAAAGUUUGCAACUACUUAUUAAUCUUUGAAACUAUAAGAGCUGUCUUAUUAUACUUUUUAUAUGCUACUUUCCUCCAUCGUCAUUUCUCUCCUUGCAUUUUAUGACUAACUAGCUAGCCAAAAUGUAAAUGCCAAAAGAUUGUUGGAGCCAAAUAAUAAAGUUCAACUCUAAUUGAAUUACUUAGUUAUAAUUGAUUUGAAUUAGGGUCAGAGUUUUAAUUAGUUAGCUAUUCCUUGUGCCAAAAAGAAAAGUGAAAUCCGUAUAUUCCUUCCUGUUGGUUAUAUGGGGUUCUUAUGUGGAAUACAUUUUCAUGGGCUUUAUAAGUACGGUUUAUAGCAGCCGCCAGUGAGUAUAAUUCUAGGAACUUGAAACUUAUAUAAAAUUGAGGCCCUAUGCACACUGCUAACACCACAAUAGCAAGAACUCCCCAUCAGUUUAUUGUAUAAGGAGCAACAGUGCAUAGAAGUGCUUCAAUCUAUUCCGUCCUGAAGUUUGAUCAUCCAUAAAUUCAUCAUGUUGUCUUCUCAGGUAUGCAAGGUUUACGUGUUUUGAUUUGAUGAACUGAUAAAGUUUACAAAGAUUUGGAGUUAAGUUGGUUAUUAAGAGUGUUUGACAAAUAAAUUACACAUGAGUCUUGCGUAGUCAAGGAACUUAUAUGAACAUGAAUUUGAAAAUUGUGAGUGUGCCACUACUUGUUCCCGCUAAUAGACUAUAUGAUGAAAAAUUGUACUAUUUAACUUCUAACUAAAAUGAAGAGGCUCAACUUAAAUUCUUUCUUUGUCUUACUUAUUUAAGAACUCCUCUUACAUAGAUAUAGAACAAGGUGAAAAUUAUUGGAAUAUGAAUUGAUAUGAAUUUGGUUAUAUAUAUAUAUAUUCAAUGAUAUUCAAUUGCAAUAGAAAAGAGCUGCAUUUAAAUUGAUUAAAUAAGGGAUUUGAUAUAAUGCGGCCACCGCCUAAAACAUCUUCUCCCCAUCGACCAACGCCCAAACAAAAGGAAGACUAUUCCUUUAUUGCCAAAGCAAGUCUAAGAAUUUCUCUUUUUCAAUAUUUGUUGUAUCAAACGAAAUAGUUUAUCAUCCAAAUCAUGCUUUACAAAUCAAACCUCCCUUUCCAAGCAUACAAUUCAAAAACAAAAAAUUUAGAAAAAAAAAAGGUUUGAUCUUAAGAAUGAUCGCAAACAAGCGAGCCAAGAACAGACAGGCUUUGGGCUUUUUAUUUUUUAUUAAUUCAACGUAUUACAAAAAAAAUAUUUUGGAGCUGCUUUGUCAGUAUAUAUUUGAAAACAAAGGGAAAGGGACACAGAUGUAGUUGGUUAAGAUGCUUCUCGAUUAGCUAUGAAAUCUUUAUACGUGCAUGGGUGUUGGCUGGUCAAUUUCUCACCUGCUCAAGCAUGCAUAAGCUCAGGUUCUAAAGUAUAAUUUAUACCCUGGAACUAGCAAAUUAAACUGUUUUUUAUGCUUUGACUAUAUACUAUAGUCUGUUUGUCCGUCCUAAAUAAAUAUUUUGUUAUAAAUAUGAUAUAUAUUUUUUCUCUCAAAACUGUUACGUAUGUGAUCAAUUCAAAAAGCACUACAAUUUAGCUUGUCAAAUGAAAAGUUUGAAGCGGUAGGUGUUAAGUUCGAGUUAUCUAAAUUAUGAGUUUGAUAUCUAAUUAUUAUAGCUGAUUUAUUAUGUGACUUAACUGAAUCCGUUAACCAUUAGGGUUUAUUGUUUAUACAGAAAAAAAAAGUUUGUUGUUGGGCUACUUAGUGAUCAACUUGCUAUAUCAUCAUGUUCAUGUGCCAUAUUUUGUUAUUGCCUAAUCACCUGUUCUUGUAACAGUCGUCUUGUUUAUCCAGAGACGGACCUUGGAUUUCAAAGUUGUCUGAGCUAAAUUUACCUCACAUACAAUACAAGAGAUAAAGGAGAGGAAAUUACUUUGUCACAGCUACACGAAACUAAUGUAUUUGGGAUAGGAUCUUCAGCCAUUACUGCUAGAAAUGCUCUUCUCGUCGGUUGUAUUUGGAACAAUUGAACUGGAGGUUUCUCUAUUUAGUUAAGUUACUUUCCAACCAUUUGCGUUUCAAAUCCUCUUCCUCCUCUUAGUCUAGUUUAAAGCAAUGUCACUUGUAAUAAAGAACAAUAUAAAACCCAAUUAGUCAAUAUUUAUGACAUGUUUACUUCAAGUAAAGAUACAUAAACCGUUGGAGCAAGGGAAUAAGCAAAAUAAAUCUGUUUAACUAGCCACCUAGUUUAUAUAAUUCUUAAUUUUCAGAUAUUAACUUAUAAGCUUUCAGGCGGGAGUUGUCCACACCUAGACGGAUUUCAUUUGUAUUAAAACAACAAAAUUUAAAAAAUCAGAAUGAUUUGAAUUCUCAUAUACAUGUCAUUAACAUUAAAAUUUGAAACAUAAACCCAAUAUGACGCAUUUUAUGGUCUAAUUGUAAUAAACUUACGAUGUAGUUCACCACAUGAUGUGCAUAAUUAAAAUAAGGCCCAAUGUUAGCGUACUUCUUACUCGCCCAAGCCCAAAACUAGAGUUGAGUUCGGUUUCAAUCUGUUCAGUUUUUUGUCAAAACCAUAACUAAACCAAAAUUUCGAUUCGGUUUAAUACUUUUAGGUUUUUGUUCGAUUCAGUUUAAUUUUAGUUUGGUUUGUUAAUGUUAGCGUACUUCCCAAUGCUCCCUCUUUUGUCUUCUUCCUUACUUGGCUUCGCGCUGAUUCGUUUGAACCUGCAAACGACCACGGACGGCUUUUCCGAAACCUUAGUUACGUCUCGUAUGAGCCCGAAACAAAAAGCCGAACAUUCUUCUCGCAACCAAAAUAUCAUCCGACCGGAGAAAAGUUAAGCACAGCAGAAAUGGAUCUGAGAGAAAGCGUCAUCAACCAAAACGACUUCGCUCUGGGGCUGACGAAGCAGCUGCUUCAGACCGAAGGCAAGCAAUCGAACCUCGUGUACUCGCCGGUGUCCAUCCACGUGCUGUUGAGCCUGAUCGCGGCCGGCUCAAAGGGUCCGACUCAGGACCAGCUGCUGUCUUUUCUCAAAUCAAAGUCCACCGACCACCUCAACUCCUUCGCCGCCGAGCUCGUGUCCAUGAUCUUCUCCGAUGGGUCCCCUAGCGGCGGCCCCCAGCUGUCGUUUGCUAAUGGGGUUUGGGUGGACGGGUGUCUCCCUCUGAAGCCUUCUUUUAAGCAGGUGGUGGACACCUCUUACAUGGCUGCUCUUGCCCAAGUCGAUUUUCAGACCAAUGUAAGCUCUCAAACCCACUGUCCUGUCGUUUCGAUUGUCUUUUUUUCCGAGGAUGCUCUUGAUCAAAGUCUUCAAUUUUUUCGAUGUGAUUAGAGAUGCUUGUUCCUUUGUUGAACCUAAAUUGUAGGCCUGCUGAAUCUCUUUUACUUGUAGCAUUUCAACUAAAAAUUUCCUUUCUCUAAUCAUUAAUGUUUGUGCUUGUUAGCUAUUACAGAAUCAUAUCGUAAUUCGUAGAUUUUUGUUAUAGUACGAUCAUCACUAGGUUAAUAGUAUUGAAGUAACAUGCAGGCUGAUAUAUCAUUGUUUUCUAACUUGUCGUAACUGUUGCUGGUGCUCGAGGCUGCUCAAGUGGCCUCGGGAGUGAAUUCAUGGGCUGAAAAGGAGACGAGAGGCCUUAUCAAGGAGGUACUUCCUCCCGGGUCAGUUGACAGCUCAACCAGGCUCAUCUUUGCAAAUGCGUUAUACUUCAAAGGAGCUUGGACUGAAAAGUUUGAUGCAUCACAAACGAAAGAGCAUGAUUUCUACCUUCUCGAUGGGAGCACAGUUAAGGUGGCCUUCAUGACCAGCAGGAAGAAGCAGUAUGUAAGAUCCUUCAAUGGUUUCUCAGUCUUAGGGCUUCAUUACAAGCAAGGUGAAGACAAGCGAUGUUUCUCCAUGCACAUGUUUCUCCCAGAGGCGAAAGAUGGGCUGCCAGCUUUGGUUGAGAAACUUGGUUCUGAGUCCGGGUUUUUGGAUCGCCAUCUUCCUAACCAAAAAUUUGCAGUGGGUGAUUUCAGGAUUCCAAAGUUUAAGAUUUCAUUUGGGUUUGAAGCUUCCAAUGUCCUUAAAGGUCUUGGCUUGGUGCUGCCAUUCGGUGGCGGAGGAGGUUUGACAGAGAUGGUGGACUCGCCUGUGGGUAAGAACUUGUACGUUUCCGGCAUAUUCCAUAAGUCGUUCAUCGAAGUGAACGAAGAAGGCACAGAAGCUGCAGCUGUGUCUGCCGGGCGUGUUAGGCGUUUGCGUCUGGUAGUGCCAAGGACGGUUGACUUUGUGGCCGAUCGUCCAUUUCUCUUCUUGAUCAAGGAAGAAUUGACCGGAACUGUGCUUUUCAUCGGGCACGUACUCAAUCCUCUUGCAGACUGAGCGUUGUUAUUCCCUGUAAAAGGCAAAUGUAUACGUAGAACUACACGAGAUUAUAUAUAAAAUGUAUGAUCAUCUCUAUUAAAAUAAAUGUAUGAUCAUCAUGUUCACGUCGUCUUGUUUAUAUAUAUAAAUGUAUGAUCAUCUGUGUUAAAAUAAAUGUAUGAUCUUCAUGUUCAUGUCGUCUUGUUUCUCUCAUAUGGCUUUUGUUGUUCGUUCUGCCAUGGCUAUACCUACCCGAAACUGUUGGAAAUGCUUUGGGGAUAGGCUUUUACCCAUUAAUGCUGGAAAUGUUUUUCUCCUUAAUUGUAUUGGGAACGGUUUGGACUAGAGGUUUUUCUUUUUAGUUAAGUGUCGGAUUGUCCCGGUGAAUAGUCAUUCCUUAACCAUUUGCAUGGGCUUAAAUUCUUUGUAAUUAGUUUAAAGCAACGUUGCUCUUGUAAUAAAAAAACAUUAUAAACCAAGUGCUCGGUAAUUAUUGCACGUUCAGUUAACAUGAAUCGGGACAAGUAAAGAAUCAUAGAACUUACGAGCAGGGAAUGUACAGAGGGAAAAUUUAUCUUAUCAACUGGCCAUGUAAUUUACAUAAUUCUUGAAUUUUAGGUUAAGUUAUAUUUUGUAGAUCAGGCGUAAGUUGAUUUUUUUUUUAAAUUAUUAAAGAAAUCAAUCAUCAAUUAUCACAUAAUGUGAUUUGUAAAAUAUUGUUCGAGUAGAUAGUCUCUCGAGAAUGACUCAAACUUUAUAAUGAUUUUGAUUUUUAUUACAUAGUAAUCAUGUCAUUAAGGUCAAACUUUGAACAAACAUCCAUUUACAUAGCAAGCAUGUUAUUAUGGUGUAUGCUCAUCGUCGCUUUCAAACCUUGACAUGUGUCUUCUAACAUAACCAUAAUGAAAAUUAUACUUUCAAAUUUAUUUUUUUUAUUUUGAAAGGAUGUCAACUAGUGCCAAGCUAGGACUAGAAACACAAUUUGGCAACAACAUUCCAUAUUUACCCCUGCUUUUGCUGGCUGUAUCUCAAAAAUAUAUGGGCAGUCCUCCUAAUUUUCAUCUUCUUACCGGAAUCUCACCCCACAAAUCAAAUUACAGCCCACAACUGCCUAAUUUUUGUUAGUACCAAAAUCAAGAACCAAUAACAAUAUCUUAUUAUUCGUUGCAGUUUAAAUGACACUUGUUGAUGAGUUUUGUUGCAGUUAAAUUUCAGGAUAAUAUUAGAGAGACUAAAUUUGAAGAUGAAAUUUACAAAUUAAAUGUUAUGUCACCAAUAAAAAUGAGCAUGUUUAUUAACGUUUAAAUGAUAAACCAAUUAUCAACUUCUAUAUAUGUUUGAACCCGAUGUUACACCAUCGGUUCGAGUAAUCGAGGCUAUUGAAUAAGCAGAAUUUUAGAUCGUUGAAAUUAUUAGAAAAUCUGAGCAUGCACGAUAGUUAUAACGGUGAGAAAAGUUACGGUAAUAUUAGCGUACUUCUUACGUGGCCACGCCCAAAACGAAGUCGUGGCAACUCGCGCGAAUGCCACUGCUCCCUCUAUCGUCUUCUUUCCCGCUUGGCUUCGCAUUGAUCGUUUGAACCUGUAACCGAUCACCGAUCACCGACGACCGACACCGACUUUCCUAUUUUCUCGAUGGUGAGAAAGCAUACGGCCCAAUAUUAGCGUACUUCUUACGUGGCCACGCUCAAAACGAAGCGUGGCGACUCCCACGAAUGCCACUUCUCCCUCUAUUGUCUUCUUCCCCACUUGGCCUCGCAUUGAUCGUUUGAACCUGCAACCGAUGACCGACGACCGACACCGAGAUUUUCCCAAACCUUGGUCCUUACUCUCGUAUAAAUUAGAAACGAACAGCGGAACAAUUUUCUCGCAACCGGAAGCACAGCAAACAUGGAUCUGAGAGAAAGCAUCAUCAACCAAAACGACGUCGCAAGGAGGCUGACGAAGCAGCUGGUUCAGACCGAAGGCAAGCAGUCGAACCUCGUGUACUCGCCGCUGUCCAUCCACGUUGUGCUGAGCCUGAUCGCGGCCGGGUCAAAGGGUCCCACCCAGGAGCAGCUGCUGUCGUUCCUCAAGUCAAAGUCCACCGACCACCUCAACUCCUUCGCCUCCCAGCUCGUGUCCGUGAUCUUCUCCGACGGGUCCCCCGUGGGCGGCCCCAAGCUGGCGUUUGCGAAUGGGGUUUGGGUGCACAAGCCUCUCCCGCUGAAGCCUUCCUUCGAGCAGGUGGUGGACGCUUCUUACAAGGCCGCUCUUGCCCCAGUCGAUUUUCAGACCAAUGUAAGCUCCCAAACCCUCUGUCAUGUCGUAUCGAUAGUGUUUUUUUUCAAUGCUGCUCAUGAUCAAAGUCUUCAAUUUUUUUCGAUUUGAUUGGAGAUGUUUGUUCCUUUGUUGAACCUAAAUUGCAGGCCUGCUGAUGCUCUUUUAUUAUUGUAGCAUUUCAAAUAAAUAUUUCCUCUCUAAUCAUUACUGUUCGUGCUUGUUCUUCUGAAUAGCUUAGCUGUUACGAAAUCGUAUCGUAGAUUUUUUGUUCGUUACUGUUUGUGGUUGUAAUUGAUCGAGAUAUGCAGGCUGAUAUCAUUGUUUUCUAACUUGUCGUAACUGUUGUUGGUGCUCAAGGCUGCUCAAGUGGCGUCGGGAGUGAAUUCAUGGGCUGAAAAGGAGACGAGCGGCCUUAUCAAGGAUCUACUUCCUCCCGGGUCACUUGACAGCUCAACCAGGCUCAUCUUUACGAAUGCAUUGUACUUCAAGGGAGCUUGGAAUGAGAAAUUUGAUGCAUCAGCUACAAAAGAGCAUGACUUCCACCUUCUCGACGGGAGCACAGUUAAGGCGCCCUUCAUGACCAGCAAGAACAAGCAGUAUGUAAGUGCCUUUGACGGUUUCUCAGUCUUAGGGCUUCCUUACAGACAAGGUGAAGACAAGCGGCGCUUCUCCAUGCACAUCUUUCUUCCACAGGCGAAAGAUGGGCUGCCAGCUUUGGUUGAGAAACUUGGCUCUGAGUCCGGGUUUUUAGAUCGCUAUCUUCCCAAACAACCAGUUGCAGUGGGCGACUUCAGAAUCCCAAAGUUUAAGAUCUCAUUUGGGUUUGAAGCUUCCAAUGUCCUAAAGAGUCUGGGACUGGUGCUGCCUUUCGAGGGUGAAGGAGGUCUGACAGAGAUGGUGGACUCGCCCGAGGGUAAGAAGCUAUAUGUUUCUAGCAUAUUCCACAAGUCGUUCAUCGAAGUGAAUGAAGAAGGCACAGAAGCUGCAGCUGCUUCUGCCGGCGUUAUAAGUGAGAGGAGGAUGCCCAUGACAUUUGUGGCUGAUCGUCCAUUCCUCUUCACGAUCAGGGAAGAAACGACCGGAACAGUUCUGUUCAUCGGUAACCUGCUCAACCCUCUUGCCGGCUGAGUGUUACAACCCCCUGGGAAAGGGCAUCAGAUGUACGUAGAAUAAUACGCGCGAGACUGUAGUAAAUAAAAUGUAUGAUCCUUGUAUACAUGUACUAUGUUUGGUUAUUACCUAAUCACCCUGUACUUGCAGCAGUUGGUCUUGUUUCUCCCAUGUGGCGAUUUUUGUUUGUUCUCCCAUGGCGUUUAUCCAUGUGUAGAAUCUUGAUUCUGAAUACUUAUUUUAUGAUGUACUCUGUUUGAACAAUAAAAGUUUUAGCCGACUGCAAACGUCGGUUAGUGUUAAAGUAUUUAAUAUAUAGAAUGGACGAGUGCUAGUGUUGUACCAUACACAUGGUUGGUGAUGAAAAAGAUUAAACUUUGAAUAUUCUAUAAAAUAUUAUUUAACUUGGGACGAGGAUCUUCUUUGUGAGGAUCUUAUGAAUUAAUUUAUCUUAACGGUUCAUUGUACAUCGUGUGACCAUCUUUCAUUAGAUACUUUUUGUGUUAAAUUUUAAAUAAAUUCAAAAUAAUUUUUGGCUGCAGGAUGAUUGAUAAACAGAUAUGAUGCAUUGAUUCCUAAAGUCCUCACAAAGAGAAUCCGGAUGUUUAUAGUCCUCCAUGACUGGAGAUGGCCUAAGAUGCUAAACACUUAACACUACCCAAUUUUUCCAGUUAGUUAAAUUUUCACAAUUAGUGUAUUAAAUUGCUUAAGAAAUGUUAUCAGCACUCUAAAAUAAUUGACCAUAUUUUCUUGACUCUUUUGUUAAAUUGCAUGAAGAUUUUUUUGGAUAGUCAAUAAUAUCUCCCAAUUGCUUAACAUAGAAUUAAAUAGAGUAUCGCUAACUAGAGCAUGAUAUGUUUCUGUGUCUUUGAUGCCCUUUGCUCGAGAAAAUUUAGUAUAGGGUUUUCAUCACAAAUGGUCCCUGACAUUGAUCAAACACAUCAUUUUGGUCCCUGACAUUGAAAAUCAAUAGAAAUGGUCCCUGACAUUGAUCAAACACAUCAUUUUGGUCCCUGACAUUGAAAAUCAAUAGAAAUGGUCCCUGACAUUGAUCAAACACAUCACAAAUAGUCCUUCCGUUAAAAACGUUUUGGGCAAUUUUCAAAGCUUUGUAACUCAAUCGUUUCUUAACCAAAUUCGACCCAUAAUAUAUCAAAAUGAAGAUAGGAAAGUGUAGAACAAGAUUAUACCUAUUUGGAAACCCAAUGGUUGCCGGAGAUGGCCGGAAAACAGCCUCAAAUGUGACUGGUCCGCGAAAAAACUGGAAAACUCGCCUGAAAUGGGGUAAACUUUAAACAUUCAUAACUUCUUCAAUAAUCAACGAAAUCGAGUGAUUCAAAAAUGAAAAUCAUACUUCUCGACGAGACUAAGAGAAUGGUAGCUUUCUUGAUGGCUAACUCAUUGUAGUUUGGCCGGAAAAUGACUCGAAAUUGGCUAACUCGAAAAUGGUUAUCCAAGUUCGAGCCAUUUUCCGGUCAAACCACGGUAAAUUAGUAGUCAAUAAAGAUACCAUUAUCUUUCUCUCAUUGAGAAGUAUGAUUUUCAUUUUUGAAUCACUCAAUUUCAUUGAGUAUUGAAGAAGUUAUGAAUGUUUAAAGUUUACCCCAUUUCAGGCGAGUUUUUCAGUUUUUUCGCGGACCAGUCACAUUUGAGGCUGUUUUCCGGCCAUCUCCGGCAACCAUUGGGUUUCUAAAUAGGUAUAAUCUUGUUCUACACUUUCCUAUCUUCAUUUUGAUAUAUCAUGGGUCGAAUUUGGUUAAGAAACGAUUGAGUUACGAAGCUUUGAAAAUUGCCCAAAACGUUUUUAACGGAAGGACCAUUUGUGAUGUGUUUGAUCAAUGUCAGGGACCAUUUCUAUUGAUUUUCAAUGUCAGGGACCAAAAUGAUGUGUUUGAUCAAUGUCAGGGAUCAUUUGUGAUGAAAACCCUUUAGUAUAUGAACGACAAACUACGUGUUAUUACGGCCACAGACGAUAAUCCAGACUAUUUGUUUAAUACUUAAGCUUACUUGUGGUCCCAUUAUGUAAAAAAAUUUUGCAUUAGUCUGCACACAAGAAAUUUUUUAUUGGUUUCAGUUGAGCUCAAAUAAUAAUAAUCUGUUCGUGUAAAAGUUAAAAUUUAUCUUAUUAUGUAAUUGAUUUAAAAUACCGUAAAUACUGAUUUAAAAUUAUCUCAUUGUCAGCUUGUGUGUCAUUCUCGUAGAAUUUGGAAUUAUUCACAUUGUUUAGUAACGUAGGAUAUUUCAAGAAGCAUUUUUGCUCACUAUCAUUUAGUGUAAUGUAUAUUCAUCAUUCUAUUUAUCAUCGUUAGAUGAGUUUGAAUUUUAAGAUCCGUGUAGUGGAUAGACACAAAUUUCAAAAUUCAAUCUCAUCUAACGAUAAUAAAUAUGAUGAUGAACAUAAAUCAAAUAAAUGAUGAUGAAAAAAAAUACAUAGAUAUUUCAGUACAUGAAAACGUCACGUUAAUGAAAGGAGCUGGAGCGCCUGCUGCUGACCUCGGUCAAACAGACGGUGUGGGUUUCACGUGGCUGGCGCGAAAUCUAAACCGUUAAUUUAAUGUUAGUUAUCUCUCCCCUUGUCACGACUCCCAUGUAAUGCUGUAAAGUCACAAGCACCCAUCGUUUGGUUCUAAUAUUACAACAGUACCGCCCAUGGAAACACAAUCUUAAGCAAUCUCUAAUACUCAUAAUGUUGUUGAAGUUUUGCACUAAUAAUAGUUGCUAAACAGUGAUUAGACAGUCAGAUAAGAGACAGGGUUUAUGAUGUGAUUUGGACGUCCCAUCCUUUGCCACUUAAAAUGUCUUACCUACCAAACAUAUCUUGAAAAAUAAUUUAGCUUGGUACGAAGAAUCACAAUUUUUGUUUAUAAUUGACGAAAUCAAUCAAUGCAUGUUUUUUAUCAAAUCAAUAUUUAUUGGGAUAUUCAUCCUUAAAAUCUUCAUUUUGUUAUAAAACAACAAUAUAUUUAUUAUUUUUAAAAUUUUGUAAUACGUUUAUUUAAGUAGUGACUUUGAACGUUUUAAAAUUGAAAAAUCAAUAUUUAAAUGCAAAGUUGUCCGUUUUGAAUAAUCUCUAACAAUAUUUUCCUUCUCGUAAAUGAGUAAGAUUGGUUUAUUUUGUACACAAUUAGAUAUUGAGAGUUGAAAUUCUAAAUACUAAGUUCUUCUUAACAUAUUUUCGUAACCAUUUAAGAUGUUUGUAUAUUCGAAGAAUAUGGAAAAAUUGAAUCAACCCAGAUUAUUAUUAUGGCUGUCGACAUCUUUUAUCAGAGGAUAGCCAUCAAGUCACACCGCAUAUCCAGAAAGAGAAAUCCAUCCAAAAAAUAGGAAAACGAAAUGACAUUCCUUAUUUUCCUCCAUGGACGUCCCUUCUCUCCCCACCACGAAGGUCCCAGCUGAAAAGAAACGGAUGGCACAAUCGUGAUUAUCACAAACAGGAAUGUCAAAUUGUAGCAAGAGCAUGGUCAGCGCCGUUACAAAUAAGUGGAAGUUCCUCGGAAGAGUAAGAGAACGCGACAAUCAUAACGUAAUCUAUCUCUUCACUUUCUCAAUCCUUUUCUAUCUUUUUUUUCUUUCUGGGUUCCUUGUACUUCUCAUAAAUAUUAAGAGUUUAAUUCAAAAGAAAGGAACUUUCUCUUUCAUUGCUUACAUUUUUUUUUUCAGAUUAUUUACUUUCCCUUCCUUGCAGUUGCUUGGAAGAAACCAAGCUCAGAAGACCUUUGUUUUUUGAGAAUUCAGUUCAAUCCGUUUAUAUAUAUAUAUAUAUAUGGUGUUGAUGAUUUACCAGAAGUGAUAGUGCUUCAACCGAGAAGAAGAAGCUUUUAGUCUUCAGAAAUUCAGAGAAAAGAUAAGGAAGUGGAAGAGUGAAGGAAAAGCAAAUCAAAAGAUGGGAGAAACUGCUCCUCAUCCUCCACCACAGGUGGUUGCUCGGCCGUCUCAGAUGCCUCUUGGGGCAGCGAAGGGUCCCCAUUUGGACUCCAACUGAGCAGCUCCACAACCUUCAGUAUUGCAUCCACUCCAACCCCUCUUAGCGUUAGUCUCUCUCUGUUUCUGUUAAUUUCUUCGUUCUGGGUUUUAUAUUUUUUGAGUAAAAAGCUGAUUAAAGUUGUGCUAUUUUAAUGGGUUGGUUUAAAAGUUGAAGCUUUUGGCACUACUUCUUAUUUAGUUUACUAGUUUGCUUUUUAUUCCUAAUUUUGCAAAUUACUUUUACUAUUUUUGUUUCGGAUUCUCUAAUUUAUUGUGUUCGAAUCUUUUUAAGUACUGUAAUUAGUUCUAAUAAAAUAAUAAGCAUAUGUUCCAUUACCAGUUUCAACUUAUCCUGCUUACAAGACAUCGAUAUCACUCGAAAAUGUUUAGGAAGUGUAAACGUAAAUUUCCCAUGUUUAUCAAAUGCAACAAACUGCUUCUAAUGGAUCGAAUUUUACAGCGGAAACAUUCGUACUCGCUUUUCAGCACUAUAUUGUGAUGCUCGGAUCCAUAGUUAUAAUUGCCACUAGUUUCGUGCCUCGGAUGGGUGGGGAUCAUGUAAGUUAUGUCCUCUAUACAGUAAAGUUUAUAAUAUGCCGGUUAAGAUUAGCGAUCACACACGUAGCUUUGAAUCCGUGAUGUUAAUGUUUGGGUUUUGUUCUCCCUUUGUGAUCAGGGUGACAAGGCACGCGUGAUUCAGACGAUGCUGUUUAUGGCAGCAAUAAACACUUUGAUCCAAACAUUCACGGGACAAGGCUUCCAACAGUGAUGACUUCGUCAUUCGCUUUUACCCUUCCGGUGAUGUCAAUCAUCAAUGAUUAUUCUGAUCGGAAUUUUAGAAGUGAACAUGAGGUAUGUAAAGUUUGAAACAUGUUAUUCAUAGAGGAUUUAACAUCACAUUAAUUUACUUCUUAAAUUGCUUUAAGAAAUUUCAGUUAUAGACUUUGAGAUGAAAAAUACGUGGUGCAAAAAACGUGUAAACCUUACAUACCUGUAGAAGACGUCAUGAUGAAUUUCUGGUUUUGAGGACGGAAUAGAUUGAAGCACGUCCAUGCACUGUUGCGUCAUAUGCAACAAACUGAUGGGGAGUUCUAGGGUUGUGGCAUUAGCAAUGUGACAGGGACCUCAAACUUACAUAGGCCUCACGUCCCUAGAACCCUACCCACUAAUGGAGACUAGAAACUCUUAUGAUCCUCUAACGAGAAUAAUAAAGCCAAUGGAAAUGUUAGCACACAAUUGUUGUACAUAUAACAGACUUCGAGCAAUUUUUGGAACACGUAAAACAUUGUUAAGAAUAAGAUCAUGAGUAUUGGUUUUAAUGGUUGUUGCAUCAAUAUUCUUAAUGGAUAAACCUGUUCCAUUUCCAACUGUGAUUUUAUCAAAACCUUGGAAUGGUGUAACUUGAUUCAAUGUGGUGGCAUCAGCAGUGAUAUGAUGAGAUGCACCAGUAUCAACAAUCCAUGCAUCAUGAGGAAUAUAUUGUUCUAUCUGCUGUGUUGCCAUAGCUGUUAAGUUUGCAGGUGGUUGUUGGCCUUGAAAAACAUAAUUCCCUUUGUGAUAACAUUCAAGAGCUGAGUGACCUUUUUUUCCCACAAAUCUGACACUCCAUUUGAAAUCUAGUAUUUGGUGUAGUAGCAUUUCUGUGAAAACAAUUGACUGCAGUAUGCCCUUUCUUGUUGCAGAUUUGGCACUCAAUCACUGUUGUUGACCUGCUCUCUGUGUUUCCAUUCCACACAUUUGAACCAUUUGACCUUGAAUUGCCAUACGAAAAAUCAGAAGAGUUUCCUAUGUUGUAACCCUUGCUUUUGAAUCCACCAUUUGUCUUGUAAUUAUUGUUACCCUUGUAGUUUGAACCACCAAAAGGUUUCUGCAUGAAAUGAGGUAUUGGACCAGAAUUUGAUGCAUUAGCCAUAAACCCAAAACCAUAGGGAACUUGAGGAUAAACUGGACCAGGAAAUUGCGGAGACAUAGGAGGUUGAGGCAUAUGAGGUUGCUGUGGAUAUUGUUGUGGCAAGACAAAUGGCUGUGGUUAUUGUGGCUGUGGAUAUUGUUGUGGAUAUUGCUGUGGUAAAACAAAUGGCUCAGCAGAAUAUGGAUAUGGAUUAGGAGUUAUAACACCACCAGUGGUUGCAGGUAAAUGACUAUGCCCUGCAGGAUUAGACCCUGAAGCAAAUGAAUUUCCCUGAGUUGACUAAGAACCCUAAACAUAUAAGGCAGAUAGACUUUGAGACCCAACACUUGUGUCUCAUUCAAUCUCUUUUUCAGCUCUAAAUUUUUUCAAGGAAAUGGAUGAUUCUUUGCCAUAUAUCACAGUUCGAAUAGUUGCAUACUCCUUCGGCAAACCAGCUAAACCAGCAAUUAUAACAUCAUUAUCAGAAAUGAACUCUCCAGUAGCAGUUAAUUGUUCUCUUAUACUCUUCAAUCUUAACAGAUAUUUAUCCAUCAAAUCUCCUCAUUUUUGAAUGGUGUACAACUCAAUUUUUAAAUGAUUUACCCUAGUUUUAGACACUGAAGCAAAUCUAUCCACAAGAUUCGACCAAGCCUCACAAGCAGUUAAACAUCCAAGAACAUAUUUAAUAGCCUCAUCAAACAAAGUAGCUAGUAAAAGACUUAGUAAUGGAUAUGUGGAUUCCCAUUCAACAUAUUCAGCAAGUUCAGAAGUAACUCCUCUCUUAGUAUCUAUUACAAAUUUUUGUGGACAACCAAUAGUGCCAUCAAAAUGCCCAAACAAUUUAUGACCUUUCAACACAUAUUUGAACUGAAAAGCCCAUUUCACAAAAUUAUCAUCCUUCAACUUUAUUGUGAUCAUUCCCAGUUUCAACUUUAACACUUGAAGUAGUCAUGAUUUCUUGAUCGAACACAUAGAAUUUGCAAAUAACAAACAAACACCCAAAAAUUUCUGAUAUACGUAUUGAAAGGAAAGACUGAAACUUUCUCACAACCCAAGCAAGACUGAAACUCGCUUAAUACUCAGGAAAAACUGAAACUUUCUUGAUGAAUCUUGCACACAAAUACAACACACAAUUCCAAUUCGGAAAAGAAAACACAAAAUCUUCUAAUCAGGACUGAAACCCAAUUACUCAACAGAAAUUCACACUAUCACUUGAAUUGCAGCUGUGAUUGCAGCCACAAAUAGCCAGAAUACCAACCGCCAGAAAGAACAACAAGGAUCUGCAAUCGCCAGAACUUUUGAACAAACCCGUUGAAAAGACCUUUCAGAAUCCUUGAACUGGAUAGCAGCGAAAGAACUAGGAUCGAAAACGGUAGUGAACCAUGGUCAGCGAUGAUACCAUAUUAACAGUGUUGAAUUGUGGCCAAGUGGCCAUCACCUUUCGGCUAAUAAACAAACAAAGAAAAGAAAAAGAAAGACAAAAUGAUGAGGAAACAUCAUGAUGAGGAGGCAUCAUGAUUAUGCUUUCUUGUAGUUUUUUAAUAACCAUAAUUAUUGUUUUUGUUUCGGGUAGAAGAGAAGAAAGGGAGAGCUCAUUUUUUAGAAGAAAGCAUAUUAAAGAGAGAAGAGGAGAGAGAGAAGGUAGAGCCUUUUGGUUAUAAAAGGCAUUCGAUUAUGCCUUUGGAUGUGGGAGGGGGGGGAGCGGCAGAUGAGAGAGCACAGGGAGAGCAUUCGGCUCUCCCAUUUGAAUAUGAGCUGCUCCUUCCCACCAUUUGUAAUAAUCCCAUUUUGUUAGUAAUCACUCAAUCAAAGAUGUUGGUGCUACUUGUGUAGCUUUUGGGAGAGAAGGAUUUUGAUAUGUGUUUCUUCUUCUCCAUUUGUUUCUUAGUUUGAGUGAGAGCUAUUGGGUGUAUGUGGGAUUUGGGUUUGAGUGUUGAACUCUAUUUGUAAUCUCCUUUUGAUAUUAAUGGAAUUUCCUCGCCGUCUCGGAACUGGAUGUAGGCUUACGCCAAACCAGUAUAAAAAUCCUUGUGUCUUUUGGAUUAUUUGUCUUGUCAUAUUUUGCCGUUAUUAGCUUUGAUUUCAUAUUUGAAGCUUCCGCACAACAAGUGGUAUCAAAGCUCCGGGUUUCGACUUGGAGGCUUUGUACUAGUAUGUCUAUGAAAUCUUCAAAUGACGGUGAAAUAUGUUUUUUGGAAAAAUUCGACUGGAGGAAUGACUUUGGCAUUUGGUCAAUUGGAGAUGCAGAGUUUGGCUGCAAAAUGCGUGGCGUUGAAGAAGGAUAGUAAGGGACUAUGCUGCAGUCAUUGAGCUUGCAGAUUGGAGAAUGGUUUCGGAAACAGCGUGUCUGCUGCAAUGUUGCCGUCGAUGUUGUUGAAGUGUUGGUGUUCGACAGCUGCAGAUGUAGUGUACUGCUUUUGGUGGGUUCUCUGUUGGUCAUCGCUGCACCGGAGGUGUUUGUGGGCUGUUGUCGACGAGUUGAGUGGGAAGGAGAAAAGGUAGAAGCAGUUGAAAAUUGAAAAGAAAAUGUUGGUUCUUUUUCUUUCGGCAUUUGUUUUGGCAGAAGGACAUCAUGAUGACAAAUGAUGUUGUUGGCUGGAAGAAAAGGGAAAAAGGCUAAGGCUAAGUUUUCUUUUCUUUGGCAUUUUUUCAACGGCAGAAAAUUUUUGGUUCUUUUUUCACUCCCAUUAGUUGCCUUUGGAGCAAGUUGAUGGAAACAUUGGAGGAGUUUGUGAGGGCCAAUUUGUUGAGUUCUGCAAGUUUGGAUAGUGAGGCACCACACUAUUUUGGAUACACCACAUGCACUGCAGAACAUUUGUGUGGAACCCUCUUGUAGAAGGCAAGUUAUAUGCUUUCUAACUUUGUUUGGUCUAUGGACAUUUAGUUGGAUUUGUUUGCCACUGCUAUUUGGUUUGUUGGUCUCCAUCAUCUGCAAUUAGUUUUCUUGAAGACUCCAGUUGAGGUAUGGUUUUGGAUCUCCUGCUGAUUAUUUGAAUUUGAAAUUUUUGGUUGUCCUGUUGGUGCUCAUGUGAUGAUGGUAAACUUGAGUGGAGGGCAUAGUUUUUUUGUAUGUGGUAUGUUAGACCUUGUUGCCAAAUUUGUAAUCAGUUUUGACUUGGAGAAUAUGCCGUGCUAUUUGAAUGAGUCUAUUGAUGCAGUUUAAGACCAUGGUGUUUGUAAGCAGGUGGAGUUCGUUCUGUGUCCAACUUUGGUAUGGUGUGCUUGAUCUUUUGUUAGUGAUAUUGAAGAAUUUCAGUUCUUCGUUUGAAUCACUUUUGUUUUGAUCAAGGCACUUAUGGUUUGCAAAUUUGGAGAAUACGGUAGAGAAAUGGUCUACUUUUGUUGGCUUUGGUAUAAUUUGAGUCGAGGUGGAGAUCAUUAUGAGUACCGGAAAGUUUGGGGAAUUUGAUUUAGUUCCCGUUGUCUUUAGUUUGUACUUUGGGUGAUUAUGGUGAUUGUUGAUUCGAUUCUCUGUGAUGGUUUCGGAACUUGGCCAAGGUGGAGAUUGUUGAAUUGUGGCCAAGUGGCCAUCAUCGGCUAAUAAACAAACAAAAGAAAAGAAAAAGAAAGACAAAAUGAUGAGGAAACAUCAUGAUGAGGAGGCAUCAUGAUUAUGCUUUCUUCUUUUGUGGUUUUUUAAUAACCAUAAUUAUUGUUUGUUUAUUAGCCGAAAGGUGAUGGCCACUUGGCCACAAUUCAACAAUCUCCACCUUGGCCAAGUUCCGAAACCAUCACAGAGAAUCGAAUCAACAAUCACCAUAAUCACCCAAAGUACAAACUAAAGACAACGGGAACUAAAUCAAAUUCCCCAAACUUUCCGAUACUCAUAAUGAUCUCCACCUUGACUCAAAUUGUACCAAAGCCAACAAAAGUAGACCACUUCUCUACCGUCUUCUCCAAAUUUAAAUCCUAUGAAGAAAGGGAGAGCUCAUUUUUUAGAAGAAAGCAGAUUGAAGAGAGAAGAGGAGAGAGAAGGUAGAACCUUUUGGUUAUAAAAGGCAUUCGAUUAUGCCUUUGGAUGUGGGGAGAGCGGCAGAUGAGAGAGCACAGGGAGAGCAUUCGGCUCUCCCAUUUGAAUAUGAGUUGCUCCUUCCCACCAUUUGUAAUAAUCCAAUUUUGUUAGUAAUCACUCAAUCAAAGAUGUUGGUGCUACUUGUGUAGCUUUUGGGAGAGAAGGAUUUUGAUAUGUGUUUCUUCUUCUCCAUUUGUUUCUUAGUUUGAGUGAGAGCUAUUGGGUGUAUGUGGGAUUUGGGUUUGAGUGUUGAACUCUAUUUGUAAUCUUCUUUUGAUAUUAGUGGAAUUUCCUCGCCGUCUCGGAACUGGAUGUAGGCUUAUGCCGAACCAGUAUAAAAAUCCUUGUGUCUUUUGGAUUAUUUGUCUUGUCAUAUUUUGCCAUUAUUAGCUUUGGUUUCAUAUUUGAAGCUUCAGCAAUACAAACAGUACAAGAUCAAUGAAUUCCUAUGAAUGAAUAAACUAAAGAAAUCGAAGAAAGAGAAUAACGAGAGAGAAAAGCUUUUCAUUUAUAUUGCUCUAACAGAAAAUGAUUACAUGAUAAAAAUCUAAGUCUCCAAAACAAUAAUUAUAUAGAGACUAGAAUGAGCAGAAUCACAAUAUUGCCUUUCUAACUAAUUCUUAUCUUCUAACAACCUCAACACUCACAAGCUUGACACUUGUCAUUUCUUACAACCACUCCUAACAAAUCCUAACUGUUUAUCUGGUUAAUAUAACGGAUGGCCGACGACCGACACCGAGAUUUUCCCAAACCUUGGUCCUUACUCUCGUAUAAAUUCGAAACGAACAGUAAACAAUUUUCUCGCAAUCGGAAGCACGGCAAACAUGGAUCUGAGAGAAAGCAUCAUCAACCAAAACGACGUCGCAAGGAGGCUGACGAAGCAGCUGGUUCAGACCGAAGGCAAGCAGUCGAACCUCGUGUACUCGCCGCUGUCCAUCCACGUGGUGCUGAGCCUGAUCGCAGCCGGGUCAAAGGGUCCCACCCAGGAGCAGCUGCUCUCAUUCCUCAAGUCAGAGUCCACCGACCACCUCAACUCCUUCGCCUCCCAGCUCCUGCCCUUUAUCUUCUCCGAUGGGUCCCCCGUGGGCGGCCCCAAGCUGGCGUUUGCGAAUGGCGUUUGGGUGCAGAAGCCUCUCCCUCUGAAGCCUUCCUUCAAGCAGGUGGUGGAAGCUUCUUACAGGGCCGCUCUCGUCCUAGUUGAUUUUCAGACCAAUGUAAGCUCCCAAACCCUCUGUCAUGUCGUUUCGAUUGUUUUUGUCGAUGCUGCUCAUGAUCAAAGUCUUUGGUUGUAAUUUCAGACCAAUGUUUCAAUGUCGAUGCUGCUGAUGCUCUUUUGUUCGUUACUGUUUUUGGUUGUAAUUGAUCGAGAUAUGCAGGUUGAUAUCAUUGUUUUCUAACUUGUCGUAACUGUUGUUGGUGCUCAAGGCUGCUCAAGUGGAGUCGGAAGUGAAUUCAUGGGCUGAAAAGGAGACGAGCGGCCUUAUCAAGGAUCUACUUCCUCCCGGGUCACUUGACAGCUUCACCAGGCUCAUCUUUACCAAUGCAUUAUACUUCAAGGGAGCUUGGAAUGAGAAAUUUGAUGCAACAGCUACAAAAGAGCAUGACUUCCACCUUCUCGACGGGAGCACAGUUAAGGCGCCCUUCAUGACCAACAAGAACCAGCAGUAUGUAAGUGCCUUUGACGGUUUCUCAGUCUUAGGGCUUCCUUACAAACAAGGUGAAGACAAGCGGCGCUUCUCCAUGCACAUCUUUCUUCCACAGGAGAAAGAUGGGCUGCCAGCUUUGGUUGAGAAACUUGGCUCUGAGUCCGGGUUUUUAGAUCGCUAUCUUCCCAAACAACCAGUUGCAGUGGGCGACUUCAGAAUCCCAAAGUUUAAGAUCUCAUUUGGGUUUGAAGCUUCCAAUGUCCUAAAGAGUCUGGGACUGGUGCUGCCUUUCGUGGGUGGAGGUCUGACAGAGAUGGUGGACUCGCCCGAGGGUAAGAAGCUAUAUGUUUCCAACAUAUUCCACAAGUCGUUCAUCGAAGUGAAUGAAGAAGGCACAGAAGCUGCAGCUGCUUCUGCCGGCGUUAUAAGUGAUAGGAGGAUGCCCAUGACAUUUGUGGCUGAUCGUCCGUUCCUCUUCACGAUCAGGGAAGAAACGACCGGAACAGUUCUGUUCAUCGGUAACCUGCUCAACCCUCUUGCCGGCUGAGUGUUACAAUCCCCUGGGAAAAGGCAUCAUGUGUACGUAGAAUAAUACGAGAGUAUAGUAAAUAAAAUGUAUGAUCCUUGUAUACAUGUGCUAGGUUUGGUUAUUACCUAAUCACCCUGUACUUGCCGCAGUUGGUCUUGUUUCUCCCAUGUGGCGAUUGUUGCUCGUUCUCCCAUGGCGUUUAUCUAUUUGUACAAUCUUGAUUCUGAAUACUUAUUUUAUGUUGUACUCUGUUUGAACAAUUAAAGUUUUAGCCGACUGCAAACGUCGGUUAAGUGUUAAAGUAUUUGGACAGGGAUUGUCUGCUUUUUCAUUUUUCGUGUCCUUCUGUUUUGUGUGUUCACAGUUAAACUACGUCAAUAUUUUAUAUUAUUUUUUUAUAGAAAUAAUAAGAUAAAAAUAAAUAAUAAUAUAAAAUAUUAACGUGACUUAACUGUAACCACACAAACAGGAGGGCACGGAAGACCACCGGAAGUGGAAGAGCGGACAUUCUUGUCCAAAGUAUUUAAUAUAUAGAAUGUACGAGUGCUAGUGCUGUACCAUAUACAUGGUUGGUGAUGAAAAGGAUUAAACUAUGAAUAUUCUAUAAAAUAUUAUUUACCCUAGGACGAGGAUUUUCUUUGGAUCUUCUUUACGAGGAUCUUAGGAAUUAAUUCAUUUUAACGGUUUAUUGUACAUCGUACGGUCAACUUUCGUUAGAUACUUUUUAUGUUUAAUUUUAAAUAAAUUCAAAAUAAUUUUUCACUGCAUGAUGCAUUGAUUCCUAAAGCACUCGCAAAGAGACUCCAGAUGUUUAGUUCUCCAUGACUGGAGAUGGCCUAAGAUGCUAAACACUUAACACUAACCAAUUUUUCCGGUUAGUUAAAUUGUUUAAUAAAUGCUAUCCACACUCUAAAAUAAUUGACCAUAUUUUCUUGACUCUUUUGUUAGAUUGCAUGAAAUAUUGUUCGAGUAAAUAAUCUCUCAAGUAUCACUCAGACUUCAUAAUGAUUUUGAUUUUGAUUACAUAGUAAGCAUGUCAUUAAGGUCAAAUUUUGAACAAACACCCAAUUACAUAGCACGCAUGUUAUUAUGGUGUAUGCUCAUUGUCACUUUCAAAACUUGACACCUGUCUACUAACAUAACCGAUGGCCGACGACCGACACCUUCCCAAACCUUGGUCCUUACCCUCGUAUAAAUUCGAAACGAACAGUAAACAAUUUUCUCGCAAUCGGAAGCACGGCAAACAUGGAUCUGAGAGAAAGCAUCAUCAACCAAAACGACGUCGCAAGGAGGCUGACGAAGCAGCUGGUUCAGACCGAAGGCAAGCAGUUGAACCUCGUGUACUCGCCGCUGUCCAUCCACGUGGUGCUGAGCCUGAUCACAGCCGGGUCAAAGGGUCCCACCCAGGAGCAGCUGCUCUCAUUCCUCAAGUCAAAGUCCACCGAUCACCUCAACUCCUUCGCCUCCCAGCUAGUGUCCGUGAUCUUCUCCGAUGGGUCCCCCGUGGGCGGCCCCAAGCUGGCGUUUGCGAAUGGGCUUUGGGUGCACAAGCCUCUCACGCUGAAGCCUUCCUUCAAGCAGGUGGUGGACGCUUCUUACAAGGCAGCUCUCGCCCUAGUCGAUUUUCAGACUAAUGUAAGCUCCCAAACCCUCUGUCAUGUCGUUUCGAUAGUUUUUUUUUCAAUGCUGCUCAUGAUCAAAGUCCUGAAUUUUUUUUCCCGAUUUGAUUAGAGAUGUAUAAAUAUUUCCUAAAUUGCAGGCCUGCUGAUGCUCUUUUAUUCUUGUAGCAUUUCAACUAAAUAUUUCCUCUCUAAUCAUUACUGUUUGUGCUUGUUCUUGUGCAUAGCCGUUACGAAAUCGUAUCGAAGAUUUUUUUGUUCGUUACUGUUUGUGGUUAUAAUCUAGGUAUUAAAUAUUGAUAAUAUCGGAAAUAUCGGUAGUCCAGAAACACGGAAAUAUUGAUGGAAAUAUCGGGAUAUUAUCGAUAUGUAUAAAAAUAAUAUGGAAACCACGGAAAUUGUAAGAAAAACUUGGAAAUUUUUAUUGAAACUUUGCAGGAUGUUUAUUUAGUCAAUUAUCUAUUAGUUUAUCACAAAAUAUUGGAAGGAAAUGUAUUACAUAAUAGAUUUAACUGAUUUAAGUUGAUUAUAUAGCGAACUAGCGAACUACCAAACAUUAUGAGUUAGAAAAUAUGUAGUAAUUAAUAAAAGAAGUUUAAACACACAGUCACCGACUAUUAAAAAUUGUACAUGUAAAAGCUGUAAAAGUUGAAUUAUUUAGAUGCUUUUUUUUCUUACAUGCCACCCACACACACACACACACAGACUCUCACACGCCAACACACACGCACACACAGAUCACACACACAUCACACACACAGACAGAGACUGAGGUCUCUCUUUCUCGAUCCUUCUCUCUUCUCUCUCGAUCCUUCUCCCUUCUCUUCGACAGAGACUGAGGUCUAUCUCUCUCUCGAUCCUUCUCUCUUCUCUCCCUUCUCCAUUCUCCCACACACACACCCAGAUCUCUCGAUCUCUCUUCUCCCUUCUCCCACACACACGCACAGAGACCUCGCCCCUCCCCCCUCGUCAUCGUCUCCACCGCAAAUCUAGGUCUUUGAACGUAAAUUGCAGGCCUGCUGAUGCUCUUUUAUUCUUGUAGCAUUUCAACUAAAUAUUUCCUCUCUAAUCAUUACUGUUUGUGCUUGUUCUUGUGCAUAGCCGUUACGAAAUCAUAUCGAAGAUUUUUUGUUUGUUACUAUUUGUGGUUAUAAUCUAGGUAUUAAAUAUUGGUAAUAUCGGUAGUCCAGAAACACGGAAAUAUUGAUGGAAAUAUCGGGAUAUUAUCGAUAUGUAUAAAAAUAAUAUGGAAACCACGGAAAUUGUAAGAAAAACUUGAAAAUUUUUAUUGAAACUUUGCAGGAUGUUUAUUUAGUCAAUUAUCUAUUAGUUUAUCACAAAAAAAUUGGAAGGAAAUGCAUUGCAUGAUAGAUUUAACUGAUUUAAGUUGAUUAUAUAGCGAACUAGCGAACUAGCAAACAUUAUGAGUGUAGAAAAUAUGUAGUAAUUAAUGAAAGAAGUUUAAACACACAGUCACCGACUAUUAAAAAUUGUACAUGUAAAAGCUGUAAAAGUUGAAUUAUUUAGAUGUUUUUUUUUCUUACAUGCCAUCCACACACACACACACACACAGACUCUCACACGCCAACACACACCACGCAUACACAGAUCACACACACAGACAGAGACUGAGGUCUCUCUCUCUCGAUCCUUCUCUCUUCUCUCUCGAUCAUUCUCCAUUCUCUCUCGACCUAGACUGACUCUCUCUCUCUCUCUCUCUCUCUCUCUCUCUCUCUCUCUCUCUCUUUCCCACACACACACAGAUCUUUCGAUCUCUCUUCUCCCUUCUCCCACACACACGCACAGAGACAUCGUCCUUCGUCAUCGUCAUCGUCUCCCACACACACGCACAGAGACCUCGCCCCUCGUCAUCGUCUCCACCGCAAAUCUAGGUCUUUGAACGUAAAUUGCAGGCCUGCUGAUGCUCUUUUAUUCUUGUAGCAUUUCAACUAAAUAUUUCCUCUCUAAUCAUUACUGUUUGUGCUUGUUCUUGUGCAUAGCCGUUACGAAAUCGUAUCGAAGAUUUUUUGUUCAUUACUGUUUGUGGUUAUAAUCUAGGUAUUAAAUAUUGGUAAUAUCGGAAAUAUCGGUAGUCCAGAAACAUGGAAAUAUUGAUGGAAAUAUCGGGAUAUUAUCGAUAUGUAGAAAAAUAAUAUGGAAACCACAAAAAUUGUAAGAAAAACUUGAAAAUUGUUAUUGAAACUUUGCAGGAUGUUUAUUUAGUCAAUUAUAUAUUAGUUUAUCACAAAAAAUUGGAAGGAAAUGCAUUGCAUGAUAGAUUUAACUGAUUUAAGUUGAUUAUAUAGCGAGCUAGCAAACAUUAUGAGUAGAAAAUAUGUAGUAAUUAAUGAAAGAAGUUUAAACACACAGUCACAGACUAUUAAAAAUUGUACAUGUAAAAGCUGUAAAAGUUGAAUUAUUUAGAUACUUUUUUUUCUUACACGCCACCCACCCACACACACACACACACUCUCACACGCCAACACACACGCACACACAUACACACAUCACACACAGACAGAGACUGAGGUCUCUCUUUCUCGAUCCUUCUCUCUUCUCUCUCGAUCAUUCUCCCUUCUCUCCGACAGAGACUGAGGUCUCUCUCUCUCUCUCGAUCCUUCGCUCUUCUCUCCCUUCUCCAUUCUCCCACACACACACACAGAGAUCUCUCGAUCUCUCUUCUCCCUUCUCCCACACACACGCACAGAGACAUCGUCCCUUGUCAUCGUCAUCGUCUCCCACACACACAUACACAGACCUCGCCCCUCGCCCCUCGUCAUCGUCUCCAUCGCAGAUCUAGGUCUUUGAAUGUCAAAGUUUCGAGCGCACCUCAAAUCCAGGCAAUCUGAUUCUGACGCUGUAGUCGUCGCCGCCACCACCAACUUCCUAAGCCAAGAAUGGAGAACCUGAUCUCGUUGGUGAACAAAAUCCAGAGGGCUUGUACUACUCUAGGGGACUAUGGCGAAGGUAGUGCAUUCGUCGUCGCCGUCGUCGCCAUCGCCGUCAGUGGUCAGAUCAACUCCCGGUCCCUCACCUUCUUACCUCUUCGAUUGAUUCAUGCAUAUGAAUUGUGGUUGUGUUUUCAAUCGCUCUGUAGCUUAGAUCUUGAUCUUAAUCAUGUUUUUGCAAGGUUUUUGGGAUGAAAUCGGCUCGGGAAUCGGCACACCCAUUUCCGGCGUUCUUCUCCGAGUAGCCAGUUCCAAAAAUAUCGUGAUAAUUUCGGAAAUAUUACGAUAUUAUCGAUAGUAUAGCUAUAUUUUGACGAAAACCCUUUGGAUACCUAUUAAAAUAUCGGUCCGGCGAAAAACCGAUAAUAUCGACGAUAUAUUGGCGAUUUUGUUCCUUGGUUAUAAUUGAUCGAGAUAUGCAGGCUGAUAUCAUUGUUUUCUAACUUGUCGUAACUGUUGUUGGUGCUCAAGGCUGCUCAAGUGGCGUCGGGAGUGAAUUCAUGGGCUGAAAAGGAGACGAGCGGCCUUAUCAAGGAUCUACUUCCUCCCAGGUCACUUGACAGCUCAACCAGGCUCAUCUUUACGAAUGCAUUGUACUUCAAAGGAGCUUGGACUGAGAAAUUUGAUGCAUCAGCUACAAAAGAGCAUGACUUCCACCUUCUCGACGGGAGCACAGUUAAGGCGCCCUUCAUGACCAGCAAGAGGAAGCAGUAUGUAAGUGCCUUUGACGGUUUCUCAGUCUUAGGGCUUCCUUACAAACAAGUUGAAGACAAGCGGCGCUUCUCCGUGCACAUCUUUCUUCCAGAGGAGAAAGAUGGGCUGCCAGCUUUGGUUGAGAAACUUGGCUCUGAGUCCGGGUUUUUGGAUCGAUAUCUUCCCAAACAACCAGUUGCAGUGGGCGACUUCAGAAUCCCAAAGUUUAAGAUCUCAUUUGGGUUUGAAGCUUCCAAUGUCCUAAAGAGUCUGGGACUGGUGCUGCCUUUCGAGGGUGAAGGAGGUCUGACAGAGAUGGUGGACUCGCCCGAGGGUAAGAAGCUAUAUGUUUCCAGCAUAUUUCACAAGUCGUUCAUCGAAGUGAAUGAAGAAGGCACAGAAGCUGCAGCUGCUUCUGCCGGCGUUAUAAGUCAGAGGAGUAUGCCCAUGACAUUUGUGGCUGAUCAUCCAUUCCUCUUCACGAUCAGGGAAGAAACCACAGGAACAGUUCUGUUCAUCGGUAACCUGCUCAACCCUCUUGCCGGCUGAGUGUUACAAUCCCCUGGGAAAAGGCAUCAUGUGUACGUAGAAUAAUACGAGACUAUAGUAAAUAAAAUGUAUGAUCCUUGUAUACAUGUGCUAGGUUUGGUUAUUACCUAAUCACCCUGUACUUGCCGCAGUUGGUCUUGUUUCUCCCAUGUGGCGAUUGUUGUUCGUUCUCCCAUAUGGCGUUUAUCUAUUUGUAGAAUCUUGAUUCUAAAUACUUAUUUUAUGUUGUACUCUGUUUGAACAAUU